AGAGACAGCAGUAGCCGCGGUAAUACGAAGGGUGCAAGCGUUAAUCGGAAUUACUGGGCGUAAAGCGCGCGUAGGUGGUUUGGUAAGAUGGAUGUGAAAUCCCCGGGCUCAACCUGGGAACUGCAUCCAUAACUGCCUGACUAGAGUACGGUAGAGGGUGGUGGAAUUUCCUGUGUAGCGGUGAAAUGCGUAGAUAUAGGAAGGAACACCAGUGGCGAAGGCGACCACCUGGACUGAUACUGACACUGAGGUGCGAAAGCGUGGGGAGCAAACAGGAUUAGAGACCCCGGUAGUCCCUGUCUCUUAUAC
rnacentral:rRNA from 1 species